CAAAAACAUAGCCAAGUGUUAACAUAUUUGGUGCUUCCUGCUCAAUGAUAUGAUUUAAUAGCCGCAGUACUUUGACUGUGCAAAGGUAGCAUAAUCAAUUGGCUUAUAAUUGAAGUCUAGUAUGAAAGGAUAUACGGGUAAUUACUGUAUCUGGUAUUUAUGACCAAGUUGUUUUUCAAGUGCAAAUACUUGUGAGUAAUUGUUAGACGAGAAGACCCUAGAAAUUUGUAUUAAUGUUUAGUUGGGGCAACGUAGUAGGAGAUAACCUACAGUAAAGGACAAGAAAUAAAUUUGACAGAAAAAAUUACUCUAGGGAUAACAGCAUAAUUUUUAAAAGUUUGUGACCUCGAUGUUGGAUUUGGGGGAUAUAGUUCAGAAGACUUUUAUCAUUGCUCUGUUCGAGCAUAAUACCUAACAUGAUCUGA
rnacentral:rRNA from 1 species